UCUCUUACUUUUCUCUCUCUUCAAAAUAUAACCCUUCACCUUCACCUUCACCUUGACAAUUCUCUGUUUUCCAUUUCAUUAAUUUAGAGAAACUUCAGACCUCAAACCCUAACCCCAAACAAACCAGCCGCACCUUCCUUCUCUCUCGCAACUCCGGUCGACGGAGCAACUCCGGUCGGCUGCUAGCGGCAAUUUAAGUCCGGCAACCCCUUUUUCUUCUCUCCCCUUCUCGUUUUCAGUCCGACAACACACAAGAAGGAGCCGACGUUGGUUUCUGGCUCGGCUGUUGAUGAUGAUGACGGCGAUUUUGAUGGUGAUGGUGGUUCCGGUGACGACUCCAGCAGCCAAGUGAUUUUAAUUAGGGUGAGUUGUCGUUCGUUGACGCUAGCGACACGGUUUCUACUUAUCCAUAUACAAGAUGCCUGAUUAUUUAUUCUUCACUAAGAGCUUCCCUCUCUUUUUUGACUGAUGUGCUAGUUUUCUACUUCAAUACUGAGAUCAAUCUUGGCUUGAAUGAAUUUUGGAGUUGAAAUGAGCAGGUUCAAAGUGAUCUAAUUAUGACGACGAGAUUGAUGAUGAUGCGAGGAUGGUGUCGACGGCAAAAAACUGCCCCAGCCGGCGGUGGUGGGGCUGGCCGGCGGCGGCAGUAGCUGUGGUGGUGUUACUGUUCAAGUUUUGGCUUCGAGUCUCGGUUUAAGAUGCGGGUUCGAGUCAAGAAUGCAAACUCGCUUCAGAUUCAGUUUCGGUUCAGAUUUGGUUCGGGUUUCGCGGCACGGUCGGUCCAGGUCAACUCAGUUCAAUCAACGAAAUUAAACACGAGACUUGGUAAACUCGGUCAACGAAAUUAAACACUAGACUCGGUUAUGCAUUGUGGAUUUGCUUGUUUUCAGCAAACUAGUUUUUUGAAAUUUGAAAGGGUUUAUAUUUGCUUUAGAAUUGAUCCUGGAUGCCCAACCAUUUGUGUUUUUGAUAUUGCGGGUUUGAGAAUUGAUCCUGUCUUCCGUUG